rnacentral:lncRNA from 1 species
GCUCUGUAUCAUGAGGUUCUCCUCCUCGGGCCCCAUCUGCACGAUGAGCAGGGAGCGGAUCUGCCCCAGGCACUCGAGCAGCGCCGUGGUGUCGGCCACGGAGUGGGCGCUGAUGGUGUACGCUUUGGGCAGCGCCCGCACCAACUCCCCCAGGCCGUCGUACUGCCGGUGCAGGAGGCUGAACAUGGAGCGCACCAACUCGGGGCUCUGGAUGAACGACUCCUGAGCCCAGUGAACCAUCGUCUGAGAGAUCAGCUCCUGCAGCGUGCGCGGCACGGGGGGCUCCGGGGGCGCCGCCUCCUCCUCGUCCUCCUCCUUCUGCCUCCUCCCCACCACGCGCUGCACCAAUGCCAGCAGCCGCUGCCGCAGCGACGCGUCUUCCUCCUCCUCCUCCUCCUCACCCUGCAGCUCUAUGCCGCAGUGCGCCAGGAGGUCG